rnacentral:lncRNA from 1 species
GAGAACUAGAAAACCCAGGGGGUUGGAGUGAAUGGCCUGGGUCACACAGCGAGCCUGGAUUGGAAUCAGGUGGUGACAAAACCUCCUUUCUGUAUCCAGGAUUCCCUUCAACUCUCACCGAAAGGCCUGCGGCCUGCGUGUUAGCUGCUUUGUGGGUCAGGGAUGGCUCCCUGCUCUCUUGGACUCGCAGCAGAGGUCACAAAGCUUCCAGAAGGUUAGGCUGGGAUCCUGGAGAAUCUGGGGUUGCUUGGCGCCUCCCUGGAGCCCUGGAUAACACCCUUCUCUUCCACGUCACCUGCUCUCCCAUUCAGUCCUCACUUCAGAGAGACAGCCUAGAACUGAUUCUUCAAAAGUACAUAAGGCUGAGUCUCCAGUCAGCUUUCUGCAGUCUUGGCCUGCACUCCUCAAUCUGCGACCCAUUGCAGUCUCCUCUCCUGCAGGAAGGCUGCGUAGCUGCCCUGUCAUGUCACAGUGGUGUGGAGCUGGGAGGGGCCUUGAAGCCUGGGCUCCUACCCAUCAUGACAGCCAAUGCUCACAGCUAGCUGUGAAUGCACACCUACUAUGUGCCUGCAUCUCCUCCUCCUCCUCAUGACAUGAGGUAGGUGGUGUCAUGCCCCCAUUUUAUAGAUAAAAUAACUGAGGCUUAGAGAGGUGAAGUGUCUUGUCUAAGGAUAACAGCUAGCAAAGGGCUAAGCUGGGGAAGACUGUUUUGGACGCCACUCUGUGGCCAGUUGAGGACACAAAACCAGGCAAGUCAAGCCCUUGAUGUCAAGCAGUUCACAGACUUUGAACCAGGCUGGCUGGCUAGCUGGAUGGACAGACAGACAGAAAGCCAGAUUUGAAGGUACAGAGAAAAACAGGUAAUGAAGUGAGGCUGCACAGGGGACCUCUUUCUUCUCAAUUUGAUGGGUGAUGAGUGAGCAAGUCUCACUGGUUUGAUGCUAGCUUGCUGUGUGACCUUGGUGAUCCAUUGAACCUCUCUGAAUGUAACGGUGCCAUCUGUGAAAUGAGGGCUUAGAUACCACAGCUCCUAAAAUCCCACUGGGCCUCAGUGUUCUCUAAU